rnacentral:rRNA from 1 species
GACGAACGCUGGCGGCGUGCUUAACACAUGCAAGUCGAACGAUGAAGGAGAGCUUGCUCUCCGGAUUAGUGGCGAACGGGUGAGUAACACGUGGCUAACCUGCCCCUUUCUCUGGGAUAACGCUCCGAAAGGAGUGCUAAUACCGGAUACGAACUCUGAACACAUGUUCGGAGUUGGAAAGUUUUUCGGAAAGGGAUGGAGUCGCGGCCUAUCAGCUUGUUGGUGAGGUAACGGCUCACCUAGGCGACGACGGGUAGCCGGCCUGAGAGGGCGACCGGCCACACUGGGACUGAGACACGGCCCAGACUCCUACGGGAGGCAGCAGUGGGGAAUAUUGCACAAUGGGCGAAAGCCUGAUGCAGCGACGCCGCGUGAGGGAUGAAGGUCUUCGGAUUGUAAACUUCUUUCAGUAGGGACGAAGCGAAAGUGACGGUACCUAAAGAAGAAGCACCGGCUAACUACGUGCCAGCCGCCGCUGUAA